CUUUUGAUUUCUUAUGGGAUGUUUUGUUUUUAAUCAUUUUAGGACUCUGUGACCAUUUCAGCCACUGCAGCUGUCUUCACUCCUCCCUCCUUACUUGAUAGUUUGCUGCAUAAGACUUACUGGAAGAUAUCGAGGAAAGGUGUCAUCGGUAUCACAGGUUUUACUCAGGAGGGCCAGAGAGUCCUGUGAUGGGCACCACCGCUUGCAGCAUGGCUAUAGCUCUGUUCCUGGUUUCCAGCUGUCUGGUGAGCCUUCCUGGAGCCCUACCUUUUGUGAAAAUUGAUGAGUGCUUGGGCAAGGAAAUACAAUGACCAUGGCAGUCACCCAUGCCUGCAUGUCCUCUGGAAACCUGGGGAAAGCACGGGGAGGAGGAGAGGAUCUUUAGUACGGCUACUGAGUGCCUGCCCACCAGGUAACGGAGAAGUUACAUUCUGUGAUUCAACUGUCUA